GGUGAAGAACGUAGCGAAACGCGAUAUGUAAUGUGAAUUGCAGAAUUCAGUGAAUCAUCGAAUCUUUGAACGCACAUGGCGCCUUCCAGUAUCCUGGGAGGCAUGCCUGUCCGAGCGUCGUUUCAACCCUCGAGCCCCCGUGGCCCGGCGUUGGGGAUCUGCCACGGCAGGCCCCUAAAACCAGUGGCGGACCCGAAGGCCCUCUCCUUUGCGCAGUAGCAUCAGCCUCGCAUUGGGAUCCCUCGGCGUCCUGCCUCUAAACCCCCCACAAGUCCGCUCCGGCGGCACCAAGGUUGACCUCGGAUCAGGUAGGAAUACCCGCUGAACUUAAGCAUAUCAAUAAGCGGAGGA
rnacentral:misc_RNA from 1 species